rnacentral:rRNA from 1 species
UGAGCAAUCUGCCCUUCACAUCGGAAUAACCAUUGGAAACGAUGGCUAAUGCCGAAUACGACCUCCUUUCGCAUGAUCGGAGGUGGAAAGCUCCGGCGGAGAAGGAUGAGCUCGCGGCCUAUCAGCUAGUUGGUGUGGGUAAUGGCCCACCAAGGCGACGACGGGUAGCCGGCCUGAGAGGGUGACCCGGCCACACGUGGGACUGAGACACCGGCCCAGACCUCCGUAGGGACGG